GACGAACGCUGGCGGCGUGCUUAACACAUGCAAGUCGAACGGUGAACCGCUUUCGGGCGGGGAUCAGUGGCGAACGGGUGAGUAACACGUGGGUAACCUGCCCUCCACUCUGGGAUAACUCCGGGAAACCGGGGCUAAUACCGGAUACGACCUUCCCCGGCAUCGGGGAGGGUGGAAAGUUUUUCGGUGGAGGAUGGACCCGCGGCCUAUCAGCUUGUUGGUGGGGUAACGGCCUACCAAGGCUUUGACGGGUAGCCGGCCUGAGAGGGCGACCGGCCACACUGGGACUGAGACACGGCCCAGACUCCUACGGGAGGCAGCAGUGGGGAAUAUUGCACAAUGGGCGAAAGCCUGAUGCAGCGACGCCGCGUGAGGGAUGACGGCCUUCGGGUUGUAAACCUCUUUCAGCAGGGACGAAGCGCAA
rnacentral:rRNA from 1 species